CGAAAGAUUUGCACCAUAAAGUAAAAAAUACUCUUUCCACAUUCGUAGCUUUGCCCGUUCUCUAGAGAUUCGAGGAUCGGUGGGAUAACCAUAUCGAGCACCGAAUCCAUAAGAAUCUUUAGUUUCUGGUUCGGGAACAUUGGGUUUGCAAAGGCGUUCAGAAAAGAACUGUUUGCUAAACUCGGAGGACCGCUGCAUAUCAGCUUUGUGAGAUACAAGCUCUUCUCUCAGUAAUUGGCAAAAAUGUGCAGCAGUGGUUUCAGAAACCUGCAGAGAUAUUCUGUAUUCGUAACCAUUGCUUGUCGAUACCGACAACAAUUGCUCAAGAUCAUUGCUUUUCACUCGACUAACUUUUCGAAUUAUAGUAUAUGGCAUACAAAAUUGAUUAGACUCAUCAUCACCUUGAAAAGCUAUAUAAUCAGUAAAUAAAUAAAGCAGACCAUUAAAUGAAUUAGGGUCUUCCAAGUUAUUAUAGUGGACAAAUCGAAGUUGACAGGGCAAACUGUAGAGGGCAAAUUGAGAUUCAAGAAGUCGAAACUUCCAUCG